AUAGUACUCUCUCCGUCCGAAAAUACUUGUCGAAGAAAUGGAUAAAAAUGAAUGUAUCUAGAACUAAGAUAUGUCUAGAUACAUCCAUUCCUCCGACAAGUAUUUCCGGACGGAGAGAGUAUAUG
rnacentral:pre_miRNA from 1 species